CAACCACUAGGCACCAAGUACUGUAAGCUGUUUAAGGUGUUCUGCCAUUAAUCCCAUGCACUGGUCAUCCCUGAACCAUAUCCUCCAUAUCCGCCAGAAGCCCCAUAUCCACCGCUGCUGUUUGCUCCACUAUAAUAAUCUGAACUGCCCCUACUGAAUGAAGAGUCCCUUCGAAAGUCACGGCCACCAAAUCUGCCUCCUCCAGAACGACGGUUCCUCCCUCCAUAAGAAGAGCGAACAGCAUAACGAGAGAGCCAAGCAGGUACUUCUUGAUUUGAUUCUUGCAUUAAAUCAGCUAAGGACCUUGCCAAUGAUGCAUUGCCCUCAUUGAAGAAGGCAGUAGCAAGGCCAGUUUUCCCUGCUCGCCCUGUUCGUCCAAUACGAUGGACAUAAUCAUCAAUAUCAUUUGGGAGAUCAAAGUUGACCACAUGUGCGACAUGUGGGAUAUCAAGUCCACGUGCUGCAACAUCAGUUGCUACCAAGAUUGGGGUGUUACCACUUCUAAAUGAACGCAAUGCCUGUUCUCUUUCCUG
rnacentral:misc_RNA from 1 species